rnacentral:lncRNA from 10 species
UUUUUUUUGAGAUGGAGUCUCACUCUGUUGCCCGGGCUGGAGUGCAGUGACGUGAUCUCGGCUCACUGCAACCUCUGAUUCCUGGGUUCAAGCGAUUCUCCUGCCUUAGCCUCCUGAAUAGCUGGGACUACAGGCGUCCGCAUAAUUUUUGUAUUUUUAGUAGAGACAGGGUUUCACCAUGUUGGCCAGGCUGAUGUCAAACUCCUGACCUUGUGGUCCGCCCACCUCGGCCUCCCAAAGUGCUGAGAUUACAGGCGUGAGCCACCGCGCCCAGCCUGAGACCCUGUUUCUAAAGCAAAAGAAAACACAAGUGUGAAAGGGGAAAUGAUGUUGGUUUGUCAGCCAACAAAAGCCAAUCAAUCAUUGUCUUCCUGCAGUCAAAAUCCUAGCUCUCUCCUCAGGGUCUGGCAGAGAGAAGGCCAAGAAGACUGUGGUGAACACUGAGUAUUCAAGAAAAACAAAAAACAAAAAACAAAAAAACUUCUGCAGACACCACUUUCCAGCUUUAAUGAGCAACUGGUGAAACCAAGGUGUCAGCUGGGAAAAAGAAAGAGGGGAAAAAUCAGUGACUGUGCUGUAGCUGCCAGCUAAUAUACCAAAUUAGUUAUCUUUCCAGAACUCCAUGCAGGACACAGGGAUGAUAAGCAAAGUCAUAUGUGUGUAUGUACCUCAGAAAACACGUUAAUGAGACCUAAGCAGGGACCACGUACAACUAAACCCACUGCUGCUUAUCUCAGAUGGUUUUCCAUCCCUGUCCUUUUCUUUGCAUUGAAGUCUUGAAACUUCUCAGUAUAACCCUAUUCUGAAGUUCUCAGCACAACUAAGAAGCAACACCUAUGGGGUGUCCCUAUUCAGAUACCCAGGCAUCAGCCAAACAGGAUAACCCCAACACCAGUGAGCCCAGGGCCAAGGCGAAGACUCAGCUACUAGCAGCCCCCACACCCCACAGUCCUCCUCAG